rnacentral:lncRNA from 1 species
CUCUUGUCCUCUGAACUGCUCUGUGCAAGUGGAAGAACUAAAGCUGUUAGUGAGCUUGAGUGUGAAAUUUGAUUAUCACCACGUGGUUAUCUAUUAUGUUCGAUAUUUCAUCUCAUUGUUAAACAAAGGAAGUGUCAAAAUCAAGUUUCAAAUUUUAAGAGUUAUUCUGUGUUUGUCAAAAAACCAAGCCAAUACAAGAGAACUGAUCAGUGCUGAGGUAAUGUCCUCACUGGUUGCUCACUUUCACAAGAAUGAGUCAAAGGCUAAUAUUCUUCAUAUCAUUGAAAUAUUUGAGAAUAUAAAUUUCCAAUUCAAAAAAAGGGCAAAGCUAUUUACUAAGGAAAUGUUCACUAAAUCUGAACUUAUUUCCAUAUUCCGGGAGGCAAAAGAGUUUGACCAGAAACUCCAAGACUUAACAGACCACAGUGACCCUGAUGUAAGAGAUAAAGUUAUCCGAUUAAUACUCAAACUCUAAAUAGCUGUAUAUUCUCAUGAUGCCUUGAGCAUUUUUGUCUUUCCAGUAUAAAUUGAAUGCUUAUUAUAAUUAUAAAUUUGAUACUUAUGCUCUCUGUGUUGGGAGGCAAUUUUAUGGAUGCUAGUCAUCUUGAGAGAUUGAAUACUUGCUGGUUUUUUUUCUGUGCUAUAUAAAUUAAGGUAUUUUUGGUAUUUCUGUAUUGUAACCCAGUACUGAACCUAUUCGUUUAAAAAAGCUAUAUUUCUGUGCAUUAUAUUGAUAUAAGUGUAUUUUCGUAUUCUAUUUACGUGUUUAUAAUAAAGUUGCAUGAUAAACACAAUGAAAA